AUUGAACGCUGGCGGCAUGCCUUACACAUGCAAGUCGAACGGUAACGGGCCUUCGGGUGCCGACGAGUGGCGCACGGGUGAGUAACACGUAAGUAAUCUACCUUCGAGUGGGGAAUAACGUCCGGAAACGGACGCUAAUACCGCAUAAUGCAGCGGCAUCGUAAGAUGACAGUUGUUAAAGAUUUAUCGCUUGAAGAGGAGCUUGCGGCAGAUUAGCUAGUUGGUAAGGUAAUGGCUUACCAAGGCUACGAUCUGUAACCGGUCUUAGAGGACGGUCGGUCACACUGACACUGAAUAACGGGUCAGACUCCUACGGGAGGCAGCAGUCGGGAAUUUUGGGCAAUGGGCGAAAGCCUGACCCAGCAACGCCGCGUGAAGGAUGAAGUAUUUCGGUAUGUAAACUUCGAAAGAAUAGGAAGAAUAAAUGACGGUACUAUUUAUAAGGUCCGGCUAACUACGUG
rnacentral:rRNA from 1 species